rnacentral:hammerhead_ribozyme from 1 species
ACCCAGUUGACGAGUCCCAAAAAGGACGAAAUGUGCCUUAUCCUGGAU